rnacentral:rRNA from 1 species
GACGAACCGUGCGAACGUUGUUCGGAAUCACUGGGCUUAAAGGGCGCGUAGGCGGGCAUUCAAGUCAAGGGUGAAAUCCCCCAGCUCAACUGGGGAACUGCCUUUGAUACUGGGUGUCUUGAGUAAGGUAGGGGCAUGCGGAACUGAUGGUGGAGCGGUGAAAUGUGUUGAUAUCAUCAGGAACUCCGGUGGCGAAGGCGGCAUGCUGGACCUUCACUGACGCUGAGGCGCGAAAGCCAGGGGAGCGAACGGG